UAAGCCUAUAGGUCUUUAUACAGGCUAUAUAUUUAUAUUAGUAUGGUACAGUGGAUAUCUAAGCCUGUAGGUCUUUAUACAGGCUAUAUAUUUAUAUUAGUAUCGUACAGUGGAUAUCUAAGCCUAUAGGUCUUUAUACAGGCUAUAUAUUUAUAUUAGUAUGGUACAGUGGAUAUCUAAGCCUAUAGGUCUUUAUACAGGCUAUAUAUUUAUAUUAGUAUCGUACAGUGGAUAUCUAAGCCUGUAGGUCUUUAUACAGGCUAUAUAUUUAUAUUAGUAUCGUACAGUGGAUAUCUAAGCCUAUAGGUCUUUAUACAGGCUAUAUAUUUAUAUUAGUAUGGUACAGUGGAUAUCUAAGCCUGUAGGUCUUUAUACAGGCUAUAUAUUUAUAUUAGUAUCGUACAGUGGAUAUCUAAGCCUAUAGGUCUUUAUACAGGCUAUAUAUU